rnacentral:rRNA from 1 species
UGGGGAAUAUUGGACAAUGGGGGCAACCCUGAUCCAGCGACGCCGCGUGUGUGAAGAAGGCCUGCGGGUUGUAAAGCACUUUUAGUGGGGAUGAAAAGCCAGGGGCUAAUACCUUCUGGUCUUGACCUAACCCAAAGAAAAAGCACCGGCUAACUCUGUGCCAGCAGCCGCGGUAAUACAGAGGGUGCAAGCGUUAAUCGGAAUUACUGGGCGUAAAGCGUGCGUAGUCGGCUUUUUAAGUCGGGUGUGAAAUCCCCGGGCUCAACCUGGGAAUUGCAUUCGAUACUGGAUCGCUAGAGUUCGGCAGAGGGAAGCGGAAUUUCGGGUGUAGCGGUGAAAUGCGUAGAUAUCCGAAGGAACAUCAGUGGCGAAAGCGGCUUCCUGGACCAGAACUGACGAUCAGGCACGAAAGCGUGGGGAGCAAACAGG